rnacentral:lncRNA from 1 species
GCCACCUCUUCUCCGAUUGCCUUCCUCUUGUGCGCGGCGGACCAACGCAGGCGUCUCGGACAGUCCGAGCAGCAGGAUCCACAUGCAGUCGAUGCUCAGCCAACUCCCUGGGUACACCUGGCAUGUCAGCGGGCUUCCAUGCGAAAAUGUCCCAGUUCUCACGGAGGAAUUGGAUGAUCUCGGCUUCCUAUUUUGGAUCAAGGGUGGUGGAGAUGUUCAUCGGGGCAGCGGUGUCGUUUGUCGGGUGGAUGCUGACCUUCUUCGUUUCUCCCGCCGACUGGAAUGCGGACUCCGAAGCUGGCUUCUUCGAACGCAUCAAGUCAGCGGGGUCGGCUGUCUUCUUGUACUCGUCGAGCUCGAGGACAGCCAUCUGCUGACCGGCGAUCCUCGACCCCUGCUGUAGACACUCCUCGGCCUGCUGCCGACUGCCUGUGACAGUGAUCACACCUUUGGGACCUGGCAUCUUCAGCUUCAGGUACAUGUAACAUGGACAGGCCAUGAAACACGCAUACGCCGGACGGCCCAGAAUCGCGUGGUAUGCACUCUGGAAGUCCACCACCUCGAACAUCAGCUUUUCCUUGCGGAAGUUCUUGUCGGAGCCGAAAACGACGUCCAACGCGAUCUGGCCGAGUGACUUGGCCUUUCGUCCAGGGACGACUCCGUGGAACUGCAUGCUGCUCUCACUAAGUUUAAACAUCGGAAUGCCCAUCCCCUUGAGAGUGUCGGCGUACAUGAUGUUCAAACCGUUGCCGCCGUCCAUGAGGACUUUGCGGAGUCGGACUCCUUCCACCACCGGGUCGAUGACCAGGGCCUGCCUCCCUGGGGUGGGUACGUGUGCUGGAUGAUCCGACUGGUCAAAGGUGAUCGCAGUGUGAGAUCAUUUGAGGAACGUGGGGUUGGUUGGGGUGGCCAUGUUCACCUCCCUGUUCACCAGCUUCAGUCGACUCUUGCUUUCCACGUCAGGAAAAAUCAUCAGUGUUGCAUGGACUUGGGGGAACGGAUCCUCCUUGUCCUCCUCAUCCUGUUCAUUGUCCUUUUCACUCGGCUGCCCUUCGCCAAACCCUUGGAUCAGGAGGCGACAUUGCCGAGUGGUAUGCUUUGGAAAUAUGGCGUUGCCUUCUUCAUCCAUCUUUGUGUGGAUGGGACAUGGCUGAUCCAGGAUGUGGUUUCCGAACUGCUUCUUCUUGGGGGUGAACUGAGCCUUCCCCUUGCCCUUGAACUUGGCAUUGGUAACGGUUGCGGCCUCUGCCUGCGGAGUGGACGGUGCUUUCUGCUUCUGCUUCCGAGUGCUGUUCCCAUCUCCAUCGGCGACUGCUUUAUGCUUGCCGCUACGAAUGCGAUCAUGUUCUUCGCCAUUGGCAUAGCGUGCUGCUAUCUCCAUCAUCUUGCUCAUGGAGAUGUCGCCUAUCCGACCGAACUUCAGGUACAGAUCCCUGUACCGCACGCCUGCCUUGAAAGCGCAGACUGCUUGGUGCUACGUGACGUUCUCCACCGUGUGGUAGAGGGUUGUCCAACGCUGGAUAAAGUCGCGCAGGGGCUCAUUCUGCUUCUGGACACAGUGCUGGAGCUCCACGAGACCAGCAGGGCGUUUGCACAUCCCUUCGAAGGUCCUGAUGAAGACUUGGGCCAGAUCUGCCCAGCUGUAGAUGCUUGAAGGGGCUAACUGGUUCAGCCACGCCCGUGCCGAGCCGUCGAGCAUCAGGGGGAGAUGUUUCAUGGCGACCUGGUCAUCUCCGCCACCGAUCUGGACUGCCACUCGGUAGUCGUCUAGCCAUGUUUCUAGCUUGGAUUCUCCUGUAAACUUGCUGAUCCCCGUCGCCAAUCGGAAGUUGGGAGGGAUGUCAGCCGAACGGAUGGCCCGACUGAAACACUCGGGACCAGAGACGAUGGUCCUGCUUCCACUCGGACGGUCUCUAUCAUGACCAUCACGGUGGGCUCGGCUCCUGUUGACCUUCCUCUGGACGAUGUAUCCUCUUGCAUCGGGCCUUGGAUCAUAAGUGUCACCGACCGAACGCCGAUCCUCAUGAUGUCGGGGCCCGUAGGGCCCACCCCGCGGAGGGGUGCGUGAACAGCGACGAUCUUCGGGAUUCAUGGAACGGCUGCCUCCUCUGUGUCGCUGAUGAGAAUCGGGGCUGAAAACUGACCGAUGCGUGUUCGCGUCAACAGAACUGUUGUGGAUCCUGUUGUGCGACUGGGAGACCGCCGAAUUCUGCUGCUGCGCCAUGUGCAACAGGGCACGGAUCUGCUCGAUCCCUCUGCCAGCCUCUGAAUCAGUCGGCUGGAGGGAAUCGGCUAUCUUGGCGGCGGCAGCCAGGUUGAGGACGGGUGUGCGGAACACCUCCACAUUUCUCUGACGAGUGCGCCGACUGGCAGAACGGCGGGGCUGACGGCGAGCGCCAGAUGUUUCGCCGACCUCGUGCUCGUUUUGAUCGGUUUGGCGGGGACUUUCAUGGGAAUUGGCCAUGUGCACUUCGGCUGCAGGCCCGCGACCCAAGUACUCGGAAGGCAACUCAGUCGGAACUGAGUCCGAGCGCUGGGACGGUGGCGCAACUACAACCGAUUCGAGGACCGCCACUUGUGAAGACGCGUUCUGGCGCACCUGGGCGUGUUGCACCCAACGCUGGAGUUGCGGACGGCGAGACCGCUUGUUGCGGCGCGUGACGGGGGCGAAGAUCGACACCGGAGCCGACUGCUGGAGAAGAAGGAUGCCGCGGGUGCCGGCACGGAAGUGCGUAGCCCCGCGACUGGGGAGCGCCUCGACGUCGAGAGGCGCAUCCCGAAGCCAUACCGAAUCGUCGACGAUGAAGGAAAGUGCGUCGAAGAGGAUCUCACGACCCAUGCACAAAUCUCCACCGGACGACAUGACGAAAGUAUGUAGUCGCAAACUCGCUGGAAGUCGCUUAGACGCCUGCCCCACGGUGGGCGCCAACUGUCAUGGGUAUAAGUCUGACAGUAGAUGUGUAGGGUACGAAAGGAUGGGCAGAGCCUUAGCUACGACGAGGUUGUAUGAGUUCAGGCCCCUCUACGGUGGAGGUAAAAGCCCUACGUCUCAGUGCUCUUGGGAGCUUGAUGUCGAGUGGAAUAUGGAUUACAGUGAAAUGCUAACCCCUGCACCAGUGGGAAAGGGCGGCUUAUAUAGAGUGCGCUGCCCUUCACAACGGUUCCGUGCACAGGGGUGGUGUAGUGGCGAAUAAAUGCAUAUGUUACAGGGGGUUACGAUGUACAGAGUGGAAUCCAGUCGGUAAGUUUGAUACGUUCCGAAUGCUCAUCUCCGACUGGAUGAUGGAGGAAUCAUCACCGACUGGAUGAUGGGAAGUCCUUAAUUCAGUCGGAACUGACUAAGGGCCUUGUCCCUUAUGAAGGGUAGUCCUUGGGUAGGACCUAUGGGGCAGGCCUAUGACCCUAUCCUGGGACUAUAACCCCAUCACCACUCAAAAAAAAUUAGGAUCACGCGGAUAUUCUUGGGAUCUAUAUGAUGCCGAUGUGACGGAGUUUUGUCUUGGUGCCUCCUAUCUGCUUUAAGUUUCAGGAGAGUUGAGCUCCAGGGGAUUCUUGUGCACAUCAUUAUCAUUCAUAUUUAUUAGUAUCUCAGAACGAAGGAUGUUCGUAAUUGCUUCAAUACUAGUAGUGGCGAGAUAACCCCGAUGUCCCCAGUACUGGUGCAGAUUGUUCGGGAGUACUGCCAUACUUUGUAUCGUUGUGAUCACGAGGGUCUGUUGUAGAUGAAGGUCCGAGAUUCUGGUUGUGUGUUGACGGAUGUGAUACAAGUGACGGGUUAGUAUAGGAGUUGUGUGAUAAUUACUGCUUGUAUCCGUGUACCAGAUUGCAUGACCAGAUAAUUUUGGGAAUUCUUAGGUGCGAAUUCAAGUAGUUGCUUAUAGGACAAUCUUCCAACAAAUACAUGAUGUUAGGUUGGGGUUCGACAUCUAGUGGAUUCCUGUCCACGAAAAUAUCGGACGAAAUCUUUCCCAUGAGUUUGUUCUGGCUUGUUUCAUAAGCCUCACCCUUUAUUUUGUUGAAAUAUGGUAAUUCAAGUUGCUUCGAUGUCAAGUGGUGUUUCAGAUCUUUCCUAAGUGGUGUUCUCAUAUUUUUAUGAGAGUAUUAAUUCUUUUGCUCUAUCAAUUGUCUUAUCAAUUCCUUUCAACCGGAGUCAUCGUAUCAAUUCCAUUCAACCGGUGUGCUUCUCUUCAACUGAAUUCAAUCUUAUCUAAUUUUGCAAGAUCAUGCUCUCAUUUUAUUUCGGAGUUCAUCUCUUCUGUCCCAAAUUCUCUUUGUUUUUCCCCGCCCUCCCGCCCUUUUUCUUCAGUGAUUGGAUUUCAUCCAAGUGCAUUUCAUUCCAGUGAUGCUUCCGCUAUCUCGUCUUCCUUUCGUAGCCGUUGAUUCAUGGUGAAGGUUCUCAGGAGCUUCAUGUUCAUCCUUAUUCAGUCUUGUUAUUUUUCCGGUGAAUUCAAUUUAGUUGUCCGUGUCAUCUUAUCCAUUCAUCCUUGUAAUUCUUUCCUAUGUUGGGAAUUCUUAUGAGCCUAUCUUGUUAUUUAUUCCUCUCUUUUCGAUCCGGAGCGUUGAAGCUAUCUUUGAAGUUUUUGUUUCCAAUCCUUUUAAUUAUUUCGAGGUGCUAACCUCAUCUAUUCUUCAUUUGUACCAGGGCAAUAUCAAUCUUUCUAGAAAUCUUUUCAACGGUGGUUCUUCGACUGGGCCAUAACCCACAGGUUUUCCCAAGAUCUUUCCUGGCUCUUUUAAUUUUUCCGGAGAUCCUUAAUUCUUUUCAACUAUGACGUAAGUAUGAUUUUCAUCAGUUAUAUCCUUUCAUCAAGAUCAAUUUGAAUUAAUUCUCAUAUUUGGCUCAACCUUGCAAUUUUCUUUAUUCCGGAGUGUCUCAGUUAUUCGUGGUGUUGUUUCUCGUCAUCAUUCUCAGCUUGCAAUUCGAAGGAGUGUUUCUCUCAAAUCUUUGUCCAUUCUUGUGAAGACCGUCAUCUCAGCUUCGUGUAUCCUCUCAUUUGUUGCCAAUCAUGAGUAUCCCUUUCUUCCUAUCCGGUGCAUUUCUGAGUUGUUUUUAUUUCUCUUCCUCCAAAGGCCAUCAUUUCAGAAGAUUCUCCGUUCUCAGCUUUCAACUUUCAUCCUCAAUUCUUCUCAAUUGUUGUAUCUUCGUUCGUCUCUCGAUUAUCCGGUGCCUUGUUCUAGUUUUCUCUCAGGUGGCUCAUGAUCUCUUCUUUCUCAUGUAUCUCUAGUCAUUCAUGGUUGCUUCAUUCAUUUCAAUUAUCACCGGUGUCUCUUUCAAGAUUUCUUCUAUUUUGUGCUCAUAUCUCUCCUCAAUCUUUUCAAGAAGAAUAAGUUGUAUGCUAGAUCCGUUGCUUGUCAUCAAUUAAACUUGAUGAAGGAUAAGCAUAACAUAAUUCGUAUUCUUGUUCUUCCUUCUUCCAAGAGAUUUCAAUUCUUCUUCCAGAGUGGCUCGUGAUAUCAAUUCUUUUCUCAAGUGCUUAUCUUUCUUUUCCGGAGUUCCAAGUUCUUUUAAGUAUCUCUUUGUGAGGCUUCAUCUAAAUUUUGGCAAGGUCAUAAUCUUAUUCUUUUCUACCUUCAUGUUGUUGCAUAAUUCAUUUUUUAUACGGAGGUCCUUCUUGGUGGUUCAUCAAGGUUUCAAUCCAUUCUCAAGUGUUCUUCAAGAUUCUUGUUGGAGAACCUCGAGUAUCCUUUCUCUUGCAUUUAUAUGUGCAAUUGUUCUUCCUUUAUCCUUUGAGGUGGUAUUAUAGCAUUCUUGUUAGUGUAGGAGCCUCGAAGAGAUUUCCAUUCAAGUAUGAGAUAAUUAAAACCACCAAUUCUAUGAUCAUGAGAUAUUCUCAACUGAUGAUUUCUUCAUUGAGUUAUCUUGGUUUGGACUUCACCUAAAGCUUUUCCUAUGGAUUAUGCUAUCAUGGUGCUUGUCAUUAAUCCCAGUUCUCAAUGCACCCUCUUGGUGUAAGAAGUUUUGAUAUCUUUGCUUUCAUCUAUCCUUGGUUCUUGUAGUGGUUGGUUGUCACCUCAUAUUUGUUGAGAUGAUUUUCAUAAGCCCACUACUAUCUUGUUCUUUUCGUUGUUGUUUUUCCAACAACUCCGUCCAAUUCUUCUUGCAAGGGUGCUUGUCAAGUUCAUUGGACUUAGUAGUUGUCAUUCUUUCUUCAUUCUCUUCUUCCGUAUGAGCUAGUUCAUAUUCUCUUCUUCCGGAGGCCUUGUGUUGUUGCUCUUUUGGGUCAAUCUUGUUGUUCUAUCAAGAUCAUGGUGUUCCCUUGUUCAAUUUAGUUAAUUGUUAUGAAUAUUGUCUAAUUCUCCUACCUUUUCGAAUUUUUUGUCCCAUUUUCCUACCGAAGUGUUGCCGAAAUUUUCCGUGAAUUCUUGCUUCCUUCUCAUAUCAGUCCUCAUCUCUUUGCAACUUUCAAGGAUCAUUGGUUUCACUCGUUUGUCAAAGAAGCGACCAAGUUUUUACCUCUCGUUCUUUCUCAUCCUCUCCCCCUUUCAUUCUUGGAUCUCGGGGACAGAUCCUCUUGUAGUGCAGGAGAGUUGUGACAGCCCGAUGCUGACGUUCCAGAAGAUUCCCCCUUCUUUCCGUUUUCGUCGUGUGUCUAUUUUAUUUUGUCGCAUCAUCAUCGCAUCAUUCACAUCAUCUGCAUUGCAUCGGCAUCUCCGUUGCCACCAGUUUUCAAACUUGCCUCCGUUGUUAGCUCCCGGUUCUCGUCGUUGUCCGUUCUUAGCCCGACCGCACUCGCACGCGCCCGCGACAUCGUUUAAAUCUUGUUUCCAAAAGUGUGCGUAAAACUUUCACUGAUCGGGGUGAAACUUGGCAUGCGGUCGUAAUUUGUUUUAGUUAGACCGCCUGUCGAAUUUCGUCGUGAUCGGAGUCCGUCUGGCACCCGAACGGUCGACCGUAACGGCACCGUAUUCGGUUUGCCGUCGGACGUCUGUCGGUGUUUCAAAACUCGUUGCCGCGCCGCCCGUUCUCCCUCUCGUCCCCGGAUAUCCCCUCUACAUGGCCAUGUACCCGUUCUCGCGUGCGGAAACGUUCCAAUCCGACCCCACGGUUGGAUCCGGAACGCGAUUUUGGGUAACCUACCCCCUGUUUGUCUAUAUAUAGACCCCCAUGCCAUUAAUUAGACAACCACUCCCCCUCUGCCUCAAAAACCGUGCCCACACCUAACCCUAGCGCAGCCUCCCACCUCUCUCUCCCACCUCCAGCCACCGGGCCCACCCGAGCCCGGGUCAGGCCCACCGAAGCCCAUCUUAGCCCGAGGCUAACCCUAGCCCGAGCUCCUGCGCCUUCCUCGCCGAGCUCCGCCGCCCGCGCCUCGCCGGCGCCCCGCUGGCCGCCUCCCGCGCGCAGCUGCAGCCUCCCCCGCCGCCUUGCCCUUCGCCUCCGCGACGCCGCGCCGCCCCACCUACCCCGCCGCCGGCCUCUGCUAGUAAGCGAGCCGCCGCCAUGGCCGCCUCCUGCCGCCUCGCCGUCCUCCGCCCGGAGCUCGCCGCCGCCGCCGGAAAUGGGGUUCCCGUGCCCGGAUCCCUCCAGAUCCGGCCGGCCCCCACCGAUUCAACUUCUUCCCCGCCGGAUCGAGCCCUGCCUGGUGCCGCCGCCGGCCAGGCGCCAUGGCAUCGUGCUGAGAACGGGAGGACGAGGGCGCUGCUCGCCAGCGCCAGCAGGCCAGAGCGCCUCUAGCCGGCCGAGCACCACACCGCCGGCCCAGCACCACCAGCCUCCGCCUCGGCCCACCGCAACCAGCCACUCCACGAGGCCCAUCUCGCGCCAGCCCAAAGUGAUCCUUCCCCGAGCCUAACCCUAGCCCGCAUGCAUUUUUAAUUAUGUAGCGCCCGCGUGUGCGGCCCGUUAGAUAAUUAGGAUUUUUUUUCGAAUUAGGAAUAUUCCAGAAAAAGACGUAUAUUAAAACGUCCGUAGUUUUUAAUCCAUAAGUCGGAUCGCGAUGAAUUAGAUACGUAUUUGGUGUAGAAUUUCGCGUAGUAUCCGUUUUUGCAACUUGCAUAAAUAUUUGAUGAGGUUUGACCCACUGUUUGCCUAGAGUAACGUGUUGUCCCCUUAGAAUAGUGCCCGUAUUAGUUUUCGCGCGUGCCCGGACUGCCCGUAUACCGUAGAUUAAAUGUCCAUGUUUUAGGGACCAUUAUUCCAUGUAUUUUAGAGCGGUCAUAGGUAAUUUUGGAUGUAUGGAUUGCCGGUAGUUAAUUUUCCCGUGUAUAGGNNNNNNNNNNNNNNNNNNNNNNNNNNNNNNNNNNNNNNNNNNNNNNNNNNNNNNNNNNNNNNNNNNNNNNNNNNNNNNNNNNNNNNNNNNNNNNNNNNNNCUCUCUCUCUCCGUCCGUCCGGACGGGAGCAAGGCCGCGAGACUGGCGGCCGGCUUCCAAACCAGCCGGGAUUCGAUUUCGGUUUCGGUUCUGGUUCUGGUUCNNNNNNNNNNNNNNNNNNNNNNNNNNNNNNNNNNNNNNNNNNNNNNNNNNNNNNNNNNNNNNNNNNNNNNNNNNNNNNNNNNNNNNNNNNNNNNNNNNNNNNNNNNNNNNNNNNNNNNNNNNNNNNNNNNNNNNNNNNNNNNNNNNNNNNNNNNNNNNNNNNNNNNNNNNNNNNNNNNNNNNNNNNNNNNNNNNNNNNNNNNNNNNNNNNNNNNNNNNNNNNNNNNNNNNNNNNNNNNNNNNNNNNNNNNNNNNNNNNNNNNNNNNNNNNNNNNNNNNNNNNNNNNNNNNNNNNNNNNNNNNNNNNNNNNNNNNNNNNNNNNNNNNNNNNNNNNNNNUGGUUCUGGUUCUGGUUUGGUUUCCCGCAGGAGCCAGCGGAGGCGGAGUGCGGAUUUCGUUUCGCCACGCUGGUUAAUGCUUUCCAGAAUUGCUCGCCCGCUGGGGCCGCCGCCGCUCUCCUNNNNNNNNNNNNNNNNNNNNNNNNNNNNNNNNNNNNNNNNNNNNNNNNNNNNNNNNNNNNNNNNNNNNNNNNNNNNNNNNNNNNNNNNNNNNNNNNNNNNNNNNNNNNNNNNNNNNNNNNNNNNNNNNNNNNNNNNNNNNNNNNNNNNNNNNNNNNNNNNNNNNNNNNNNNNNNNNNNNNNNNNNNNNNNNNNNNNNNNNNNNNNNNNNNNNNNNNNNNNNNNNNNNNNNNNNNNNNNNNNNNNNNNNNNNNNNNNNNNNNNNNNNNNNNNNNNNNNNNNNNNNNNNNNNNNNNNNNNNNNNNNNNNNNNNNNNNNNNNNNNNNNNNNNNNNNNNNNNNNNNNNNGCCGCCGCCGCUCUCCUCCUCCUCAUCCCCCCCGCUGCCGAUGCCGGCGUUUACUUCUUGCCUCUUUCGCGCGGCCCCACCGCCCCGGCGCGCCGUUGCCUGCUAAGCCCCGCAACCCCUCGCCGCUGCUCGGCCGAUCGGUCCGUCAGUCAAUCCCGGCCCCAGGAUCGGAGUUCCCCCGGGACGGGGCCCAUGCCGACGGGUUUGGUCGCGCAUUUAUAGCCCUCCCUCCCUCCCUCCCUUCCUUUCCCUGCUCGCUCCCAGAUUGAUCCUCCUCCCUGCCCUCGCGCCGCAAAUACCUGACAGGCGCGCGGAUUUGGGGGGCGGCGGCCGGGAUGGGCUGCUUCGGGUGCUUCGCGCCGGCGGCCCGCCGAGGCGCCGGCGACCUCAAGCCCUCCAAGCUCGCCCACCACUGCACCGACGACGACUCAGGUGCUCUCUUAUUGGCUGAUUUCCGUCCGUCCGUCCGUCCCCCCCCCCCCCCCCNNNNNNNNNNNNNNNNNNNNNNNNNNNNNNNNNNNNNNNNNNNNNNNNNNNNNNNNNNNNNNNNNNNNNNNNNNNNNNNNNNNNNNNNNNNNNNNNNNNNUCAGGGGGCCAGUCUAGCAAGGAAAUGGAUUCCGAGGCAGAAUCAGAAGAAUGUGAUGAUGAAGAAGGCUCUGGAGAAGAUUCAGAAUCCGGACAGACUAGUCUUGCACUAGCAACCAAUUUCGUCAGCAAGUCAAUCUUCAAUCUUGAAGAAAAUGAGUGCACCAUCCAUACUGAUGACUAUGCUGAUGACUUCGCUCCAACCUAUUGCUUCAUGGCAAAAGGUUCAAAGGUAUCACAUAAUGCCUCCUCAUCUGAUUCAAGUGACUGUGAACAUGAUGAUUACAAAAAACCCAGUUACAGUAAACUUGUCAUCAUUGCCACUAAACAACAAACUGCUCUGGAAAAGCUUCAAAAACUGCUAGACAAAAGUGAUGAUCUGUUGAAUGAUGAAAUGAAUCUUAAUCAAAUCCUCGCUGAUGACAUGAAAAAUCUUCAGUCUAGAUUUGAUAUUCUUCAGGAUCGUUAUGAUACACUCCUCACUGAUCAUGAGAAGCUUUCCUACGAAUUUCUUCAAAGGAAGCUUGAUCUUGAGAAGCUGAGGAUGUCUUAUGAUGAUCUUCGUAUGGAAAAUGAUUCAUUACUAGCUCAACAGAUCAGUGCUAGUCAAGUUGAAUUUAUUCCUCCAUGUCUUAAAUGCAUUGAUCGUGAAACUGCUAAUUCUUCACCAGAAUCUUCAAAUGCUACCACUGCUACAAAUACUUCAACUGCACCUGUUGUGUCUAUUUCCUCACUUGAGGAAAACACAAAUGUCACUGAUGAAAAUGCAGGGUUGAAGGAAUUGUACAUGACAGGCAUGUACAAAAGCCUCAAAGGACAUCAAAUCCUUUGUGAUGUGCUCAAAAAGCAGAUCUUGAACAGGAACCCGAGGAAAGAAGGAAUUGCCUUUGAGAGGAAAUUGAAUGCUGAUGGAUCUUAUUGGAAACCUGAGCAGUAUCCCAAAACCUCAUGGGUUGCUGCUACUGGGCCUCCUUUUGAUCCAUCUAAUCUAACUGGCUUCUCAUGUGAAUUAUCCUAUUCCUCGGAUGAGCCAUUUGAUUCCAACUAUAAACUGUUCAAAAAUCAAUCUGGUGAAGUAUUUGCUCGAUAUGUUGGAACUAACUGCACGAAUGGCCCUCCUCUGAGGAAAAUCUGGGUUCCCAAAAGUUGUCUUGAAAAUCUUCAAGUGAAUGUCCUCAUGACAUCACCUCUGAAGAAUCUGAACCCCAGAUCAAAUUCCUCAGGAGGACCAAAGUCUUCAAGAGGAUCAAAAUCCUCAACUGGUCAAAACUAUGCUCGUACCCAUGCUUAUGCGUCUAACAUGCAGGGAAACUACAAGGAAUAUGAUUAUGAGUGCUACACCUCAAAUCAUUAUGUUCAUAAAUCCUCAAACCAGUUCUCUGCAUACUCAUAUGAGUACUUUAACCCCCCUACUGUUAAGAGAAGUGAAUUAGCUUCAAUGCCACCUUUCUCAUAUGGUGCUCGCAGGAUGAUGAACGCUUUGCCACCCCUUCAUAUGUGGGUGGUGAAGAAAUCAAACUAAUCACUUCUGCAGGUCAGGUCUCCAGAUGAAAAUCAUCAUCUGAAGAAUUUGCUGGAGACCUGAGGAAAUGCUUGAUAGGACGCAAGCUAAUGAUUGAUGAAAUAGAAAUAUUUCACACGUCCUUACAUUUCUGUUAUGAUGAAAUCACUGAACUGAUGAAAUUAGUAUCAUAUUCUUCAAACUUGAAGCAUAUGAGAUGGUAAGCUGUACUAAUUCAUCUGCAGGAUGACAAACCCAAAAAUACUGAGUGGGUUCUCGAUAGUGGCUGCACAUAUCACAUGACUGGUGAUAAAAGCCUACUGAUGAAUAUGCCACUAACUCCAUCACCUCUGAAGCAAAUCACAUAUGCUAAUAAAGGUAAAAGCAAGGUAUUGGGACUUGGCAAAGUAGCUAUUUCCAAGGAUAGGCAUAUGGACAAAGUGAUGCUUGUUGAAUCCCUUGGUUUUAACCUCAUGUCAGUCUCGAUGCUCUGUGAUCUUGAUAUGAUUGUUAUCUUUGGUAGAUAUAGAUGUGUAGUCAUCAUGGAAUCUGACAGAUCCAAAGUCUUCGAAGGUGUAAGAAGAGGGGAUUUGUACAUUGUUGACUUCUCUAUAGGUCCUCAACCAGCCACUUGCUUACUAGCAAAAACCUCAGAAGGAUGGCUGUGGCACCGAAGACUAGGUCAUGCAGGCAUGAGGAAUUUGCACACACUUGCAAAGAAGAAGCAUGUCAUUGGCAUCGAAUCAGUCAAAUUCCUCAAGGAUCAUCUAUGUGGUGCUUGUGAAUCUGGGAAAAUGACCAGAUCCAAGCAUCCCUCCAAAACCAUCAUGACCACUACCCGUCCAUUUGAAUUGCUUCAUAUGGAUUUGUUUGGACCUACUCACUAUGCAACACUAACCAAUGCAGCAUCUCUAUAUGGCUUUGUCAUAGUUGAUGAUUAUUCCAGAUACACUUGGGUGCAUAUCAUAGUGUAUAAAACUGAAGUGCAGGAAAUCUUCAAACGAUUUUCUUCAAGGGCAUCAACGAACUUCGGCAUCAAGAUCAAACAUAUCAGGAGUGAUAAUGGAACCGAGUUCAAAAACACUGGUCUUGAUGAUUAUCUUGAUGAACUUGGUAUUACUCACGAAUUGUCUGCUCCUUAUACUCCUCAGCAGAAUGGUGUCGUCGAAAGAAAGAACAGGACUCUGGUUGAAAUGGCAAGAACUAUGCUUGAAGAAUAUCAGACUCCUCGUCGCUUCUGGCCUGAAGCAAUCAACACUGCAUGUCAUAUCAUCAACAGGGUAUAUCUUCACAAAUUCCUCAAGAAAACCUCAUAUGAACUCCUCACUGACAAGAAACCCAAUGUAAGUUAUUUCAAAGUCUUCGGUGCAAAAUGCUGGAUUAGAGAUCCUCAUCAUAGCUCAAAAUUUGCACCUAAGGCACAUGAAGGUUUUAUGCUCGGUUAUGGAAAGGACUCGCACACCUACAGAGUCUUCAACAACUAUCACAACAAAGUUGUUGAGACUGUAGAUGUGCGGUUCGAUGAAACUAAUGGCUCGCAAAGAGAGCAAUUGCCUUCUGAUCCAGAUAAGCUGUCUCCUGAGGAAGCGAUAAAGCUUAAGCCUACUGAAGACAUUGUCCCCACUGAGGAAAUUGGUGAAGAAACAAUCCCCAUCGCUGAUGAAAGUCAAGAAGAUGCUCCUGAGGAAAUUGCAACAGCACCACUUCCUCAGCCCAGACAAAAUCCUCAACCGGCUCAUCCGAGGAUUGCAAAUGAAGUAGAACUUGACAAAAUCCUCAACGAUAUCAACGCGCCAGGUCCUCUCACUUGCUCAAAAGCUUCACACUUAGUUAACUUUUGUGGGCAUUUUUCCUUUGUAUCCAUCACAGAACCCUCAAAAGUAGCUGAGGCUUUUCUGGAACCGGAGUGGAUCCAAGCCAUGCAAGACGAACUUCUUCAAUUCAAGCUGAAUGACGUAUGGGAGCUCAUCAAACGACCAGAUCCUCGCAAGCAUAACAUCAUCGGCACCAAGUGGAUUUUCCGAAACAAGCAAGAUGAGGACGGUCAAGUGGUGAGGAACAAGGCACGACUUGUAGCCCAAGGCUACACCCAGGUUGAAGGAAUAGAUUUCGAUGAAACUUUUGCACCUGUUGCUAGACUUGAAGCUAUUCGAAUUCUACUUGCUUAUGCUAAUCAUCAUAACAUCAUCUUAUAUCAAAUGGAUGUGAAAAGUGCAUUCCUCAAUGGUAAGCUUGAGGAAUAAGUAUAUGUUGCUCAGCCCCCAGGUUUUGAGGAUCCAAAGAAUCCAGACAAAGUCUUCAGACUCAAAAAGGCUCUGUAUGGCCUCAAGCAAGCCCCUCAGGCAUGGUAUGAUACAUUGAAGGAAUUCCUCAUGAAGAAAGGCUUCAAACCUGGUUCACUCGAUCCAACUCUUUUCACAAAAUCUUAUGAUAAUGAACUGUUUGUAUGUCAAAUAUAUGUUGAUGAUAUCAUAUUUGGCUGUACUGACAAAAGAUACAGUGAUGAAUUUGCCUAUAUGAUGAGUGAAGAAUAUCAGAUGUCUAUGAUGGGGGAGCUGAAAUUCUUCUUAGGUCUUCAAAUUCGUCAACAAAGCAAUGGAAUCUUCAUAUCACAGGAGAAAUACCUCAAGGAUGUUCUGAGGAAAUUCGACAUGCAUGAAUGCAAAGGUGCCAAGACUCCAAUGCCUACCAACGGUCACCUCGGCACUGAUGAAAAUGGUAAAGAUUUCGAUCAGCAGGUAUACCGUUCUAUGAUUGGCUCUUUAUUGUAUCUAUGUGCAUCUAGGCCAGACAUAAUGCUUAGCGUUUGCAUGUGUGCACGUUUUCAAGCAAAACCGAAGGAAUCACACCAUAAGGCUAUGAAACAUAUUCUUCGAUACCUAGCUCACACACCAACACUAGGAUUAUGGUAUCCCAAGGGCUCCAAUCUUCAUCUGGUAGGGUAUUCUGAUUCAGACUAUGCUGGUGACCGUGUGGAUCGCAAGUCAACUUCUGGCACAUGCCAUUUCCUCGGAAGAUCAUUGGUUUGUUGGUCCUCAAAGAAGUAGAACUGCGUAUCACUCUCCACUGCCGAAGCUGAGUACAUUGCUGCUGGUUCUUACUGUGCUCAAUUACUAUGGAUGAAGCAAACCCUCAAGGAUUACGGCAUCAACAUGAAGAAUGUGCUUCUCUACUGUGACAAUGAGAGUGCUAUCAAGAUUGCCUACAACCCAGUACAGCACUCGAAGACCAAGCACAUCCAGAUUCGUCAUCAUUUUCUUCGGGAUCAUGUCCUCAAGGGCAAUAUCCUCAUCGACCAUGUGAAGACCGAUGAUCAACUGGCUGAUAUCUUCACUAAGCCCUUGGAUGAGAAAAGGUUUUGCAAGUUGCGGUGUGAGCUAAAUAUCUUAGAGUCUUCAAUGUUUUGUAAAAACAUGCACACAUCCUAACACUUAUGCAAAGUUGAUGACUUAGAUGUGCAACACAUGAUGAAACGAUUUUCUUCAACCAAUGAAGAAAGUCACUCUAAAUGUGAAGAAAUUAACGAAGAAAUUGAUUCUCAGGGCCCUACGACAAUUGUACACGGCGUCUGUAAUCAACAUUCUUAUAUGGUGGGCAACGCCACCGCCCAAUGUGAAAUUCCUCAAGUUGAUUUUCUUCAAAUGAUCAAAUUCCUCACAAUGCAUUUUUCUUCAAAACAGUUGUUCUUCAUUGUGAUGAUCUAUUGCAAAAUCUUCAAAAACACUUGAUGACUUUCAUUUGCCUAGGUAGACUGUGAUUUCUAGUCCUCAACAACAUUCACUUAUUGCUAUUUCUUCAAGUUGAUGUUUCUGCUAAGUGAAUGUGAUCGGACCCUAUUUUCCCUCUAUGCUAUACUUAUCCAGUCUAUUCAAUUCUUCAUAUGUGUUCUACUUGAAACUUUGUUCAAAAUCCUCACUGCAUUCUUGUCAGCUGAUGAUUUUGUAACAAAAAUCCUCAAAUCUUCGAAAAAUUGUUUUCUUCAAAGGAAUAGUAACUGAACCCCCACUUCCCACGAUUGGAUAGCCACGAUCUCCACUAUCUCCACCGCAUCGUACGGGAGCUACACGUGUCCUGCGGAGACGUAGAGGCAAGGGCUAUUCGGUCCGAAACUUUCGCGCCAAACAGUAACUUUCGGGCUAUAAAUAUGUCCUUAUCCCCCUCUGUAUCAUCUUCUUCGCCUCAUCGCUCUCCUACCACAGCACACCGAACCCUAGCGCCACCGCUGGUAGUCUUGUCGCCGGCAAGGAAGAGCUUCACUGCCUCAACCUUCUCGCCGCCAGGAUCACGCCGGAGUCGGAACAUCUACGUCCGUCGCCGCCGUAGACGUCCUCUGCUGCCAAGUUAGGGUGCAUUGGACACUUGACCGAAGAUCCUCUCCAACACCACCUUUUUGUGUUCUUCGUUCGCACCUUCCAGGGUAAAUAUAUCCCAUUUUUACAGCAGAUUAGAUCUAAAAUUUUACCUCUCCCAUGUGAAAUCUGUUUUUCCUCAAGAUACGAUGCGCACAUGAUUCCUCAAACACUAUCCAUCACCACAAUCAUUGAUGAACUAGCUAAGCAUCUAAGAUUUUCACGAGAUUCCUCAAUUGUGCGAAUUUUCGGAUCUGUACAACUCUGGAACCCAAGAACAGAAUGCUUAAGCAAAUUGCUCAACCACUGGUUAUAUUCCUCAAACUGUCAAACUUUUCCAUUUUCUUCAAAUCUGAGAACGCAUAUGACCUCUCCAAAUUCCUCGCAACUAUACUCUGUUCACAGGUACACACAUGUCAGCUGAUGAAUCUCUCGGUUCUCAUCACAUUAACUCAUUUGCAGCGUUUCUGGAAGAAACUCUUCAAGGCUCAUCAGAAUCCUCAAGAGUUCAAAAUCCUCAGAAAGUUCCUCGUCUGAAGAAUAUGGAGGAAGAAAGGAAACAGAAGGGUGGAAAGAAACUGGAGCAGAACACAGUUGUUGAUAUUCCUGAUGACAUAUACCUGGACUAUUGCACGUCUGAUGAUGAACCUGAGACUAUGCCUAAAAUAAAGAUUAGGCUGCAGAAAAUUGAACGCAGAUGGGCAAAGGAGUGGAAGGAGUACAGGUUUGUGACCCCAAAAUAUGCGAAGAAAUUCGCUUUGAAGCCCCCUGGCAGAAGGGCCCCACUUGAGGAUCAUCAAGUAGCUCAUCCCUCAAGUCUUAUGACACUUGAUGACUACCCAGAUGAAAAAGAAAAGCAUCUGGCCAAGCUCAAGAAGCAAGCAGAAACAGCAGUGAAGAAAUUUCAUGAAUCCUCAGCUGCCGCCUCCGGUGCUGCUCAUUCCUCAGCAGCAGAAACCUCAGGCUCCGAGAUUCCUCAACCAGAGUCUGUGCCAACAAAGCCAAAAGCUCCAAAACCGUCAACACCAAAACCAUCAGCGCCAAAACCCUCAGCACCAAUCACAUCUACACCAAAGUCCUCAGCUCCACCUCCAAAGCCAGUACAAAAGAAAGUCGUGAAGACUACGACUGCCAGCUCCAGCUCCUCACUCCCAGCUGCAACUAGCUCGGAGACAAAGUCUUCAACUCCCCUUAUGAAGACUUUGACAACUACUGAACCUGCACCUCUGCCCAGCCCCAGCAAAAUCAUCGCAAUCCCGUCUGCAUCAGAGGGAAGUGAUAAGUAUGAUGAUGAAACUUUGCAAGCCAUCAUCAUAAACAAGCAAGAACGGGUAGCACAAGCAUCAGGCAGUGCUAUUCCUCUGGCCAUGGACCCCAAGGUCCUCCUCGACUUCAUCAAUGUGUGGUAUGAAGACCCAAACACACCCAUUGAUGAUUUGAAACUUCCUCCUGGCGUCGGCCACAUGGUGGCUACCUUCAUAAACGAAGCCAAGUGGAAGGAACAGAAGGCCAAGCAGGCAAAGAUUGCAAAGGCCAGAAAGGAGAAAUUCCUCAGGCAAAAUGUUCUCAAGCUGACGCCUGAAGCUUUGGUGUCCACCCACGCAGAGCUGCAAGUCUUGACUGACAAGUGUAAGAAACUGUCAGACCGCACAAGCAUCAAACGCAAUUCCAUCAAGCUAGCCACUAGUGCUGUUGAUGACUACAACAAACGUCACCCCCCACCAGCACCGACUCCUCAGCCCCUGGUUGAACAGCCAGAAGAUGCAUCUCCUGAUGAGGAGGAAAUUCCUCAAGCUGAGGAACAACACCAAGAGCGCCGUGCUGAUGAGCCGGCCAUUGAAGAAAUCAUCACCGAGACCGCUCCUGAUGAAUCUGCAACCCCUGAUGAAACUGCUCCUGAUCCAGCUGCUUCAUCAAAGCAGGCUGGUGACUCUGUUCCAGCUGGUUCCUCACACCAGCUGAAGAAUCUGUUGAGAAAACACCUUCACCAAAAACUUCAAGGGUGAAGAAAUUAAUCCCGUCUGCAUCAGACGCGAAAAAGACAAGAGCUGCUGAGAAGGAAGCAAAGAAGAGAAAAGCUUCCUCAGCAGAAGAAAAGAUUGAGGCAAAACGCCUCAAGGAAACUGAAGAAUCUGCCCCUCUGGACCCGGUGCCUCUUAAUGUUGCACCCUCAUAUGAAAUGGUCGUCCUUGGUGACCACACUACAAGGGCAGAUGAGGAAAUGAAGGAUGCUGCCUCUGAGGAGCAUACAGAUGAGGAAAUACAAAUUGAUGACAGUCCUCAACCUCAUAUUCCUCAGAAAGGGACUACUGAAGCUUCAGCUGCAGCAGCUGAUGAAUCUGCUUCUGCCACAAAGUCAGCUAAUGAAAAUCAAGCUGAAGAAAAUGUCCAGUCUGAGAAAGCUCCUCCCACUGAACAGGCUGACCAAACUCCUCAAGCUGAGAAGGAAGAAGAAAUUCCUCAGCCUGAUGCUCAGUCUGAGCAAGAAAUUCCUCAACCUGAGGAAACUGCUGAAGAAAAUGUUCCCGCCCCUGACAAUGAAUUCAUUGUGCUCAACCCAGAGACUGCCAUGGUUGUUUCCCCUCCCAUUCCUCAGCACAAUCUCAAUCCAGUUCAGCGCCUGCCAUUCUCAAAGCGGCCAAAGUUUCAGAAAGAGAAUUUAUUUGAGGAACGCAUGUAUUUCAUCAGAGAGAAUCCUUAUGACAAGCCUCAAAUGAGGCAUCUGAAGUUUUGGACAAGGACUCAGAUGAACUACUAUGCUUCUGUGCUCUGUGGCCGCAACAAGAUAUUCCAGCACAGGCACAUUCCUCAUGAUGAACUUGAAGAGAUUCCCUGCAUGGAACCAGUCCUCAGUGUACUACAUGAUGCAGGUUUGCUCCCUAUGUGCUCCGACAUAUCAGAUUGGAAUAGUGAGCUAAUUCUUCAGUUCUAUUCGACUAUGCACAUCUCGGGCAAUGCUGAUGACAUCAACACUUGGGUGUUCGACUGGAUGACCCAAAAUACUCACUACAAGGCUCCAGCGUCUGAACUCCUCAGAGAACUGCCCGUACCAAUUCCUUCAGAAGGGGCAGUGAAGCUUUAUGGUGAGCGUGAGCUGCCAAAUGGAAUGAUGGAGUCCUCAUGAAGCCUUUGGCUGCAGGAAAACCCUCAAGAACCACAUUCCGCGUCCAUGAGCUCAAGUACACACCCCGGUCUGUCUACCGCAUUCUCUGCAGUGUGCUAGCGCCAAUUAAAGGCCAUGAUGAUGACGAAGAUGUCGUCGGUCUCAUGAAGAAUAUCCUCUUCAACAUCAUUCACGGUAUCCCCAUGAAUAUCCAUGAUUUAUUCUUGAGGACUUUGGCUGACAAUGCAAUGUGCCCAUAUGAUCACACAAUUUAUGCACCAUGGAUCAUGAGAUUCCUCAGGACAAGGACAGGCAUCAACUUUCACGCAAAUUUCCAGAACCAUGUUGGUUAUAUGCCUCCUAUCCGGGUCAACAAGAAGACUUUCGAGCCCAUUGAGGGAAAAGGAAAGUAUGUAAUUGAUGAAGGAAGCAGGCCUCUUGAUGGUCAAUUUAAGGAGCCAGAUGCAUAUUCCUCAUGGGACGAUACUGAGACUCGUCCACCAAGCCCAGUUCCUCCUCGCGUUCUAAACACCAGAGAGCUUCUUCUCAGUCUUCAUCAGAAGGUGGAUCACAACCACAAAUGGGUCAAACGCCAGUUUGGUGCCAUUGUGAAAACCCUCACUGAGACACAGAACAGUGUGAAGCUUAAUCAUCAUAUCUGCAUGAGGUUUUUGAUCGCACCUGGGCUACCCUUGCCCAUCUGAAGACCCAGACUGAGCUUAAAGAAUUGAACUUUGAGCAGGACUUUGACUGGUCGUGGCCUCCCAAGAAGAAGUUCAGGCCCAUUCCAGUGCCAGAUCUUGAAGGCAGCUCCUUCUCGUCCUUCCGCACCGCCGAAUCUGAUGAGGAACAACUCGACACCGCAACAGGCCCAAGGAAGAAGACUACACCCAAGAAGCGCCAAGGAUCUUCAUCAACCGCCAAGAACUGAAGUCUUCACGGGCGUUAGGCCUCAGUUUGUCCCUUUUUGUCACUUGAUGACAAAGGGGGAGAAACUUGAGAGUUAGUUUUCAAACGGGAGUUAUUUUUGGGGCUUAUGAACUAUAUUUACGUUACAAACUCUUGGCUCUUCUGAAGUUUUUAUGUAAUGAGUUGUAACUUAAGCCCGAUGGUACUCUCACGCUUUUUGAACGUUUUUCUUUGCAUGCUUAUUCCUCAAGUUUUAAUGCACGCAUGCUGGAAUUCGUCAGAUACCAUUAGCCAUCAUGCAUCUUCAUUUUCUUCAUAUGAUAUGUUAUAUGUAUGCAUGAUUUACAAGAUUCAGGGGGAGAUCUCCAUGAUAUAAAUCAUCAAUGUGCAUAUGCUAUAAAAGCAAAAUCCUCAAGGUAUGCACAUCUUCAGGGGGAGUCUCUGUGAAUCUUGUCUUCAAAUUCCUCAAAUUAAGUAUUUACACUUCACAUUUUUAUUCCCUGUUGAAGACUUAACCUAAUUGUCAUCAACCACCAAAAAGGGGGAGAUUGUAAGUGCAUCUAGUGCCCCUUAGUGAUUUUGGUGGUUUGAAGACUUAUAGGUUAAGUAUCUAAUGUGUUUAUAAGUGUACACAGGAUCUAUAAGUCAUUGAGGAGUUUGAGAUAUUUGAAGAAUAUCGACCCCUAAAAAUAUAUGUCUUCAGUUGAAGAAAUUGGUCUGAAGCUGAAGAAAUGAAUCGCGAAGAAUUUGCGAUGAAAUUGAUAUUCCUCAUGAAGAUAUUGAUAUUGAGAAGAUCGGUGGUUCCUGAAGAAAAUCGUUCUGAAGAAAUUGAAGCAUGAAGAUUUAUGUUUUCUGUUUUACUUUCUUCGCAUUUGAUGAAUAGGAACACCGUACUGUUAAAGGGGGUCAAAGUAACGCUAUGGAAUGAAUUUCCUCAUGAUGCUCAACCCAAGCCAAAUCCUACCAAAAGCCUCAAGUGAGGAAUAUGAGUGACAUGAGGACUCUCACAGUUGAGGGUCCCGACCGUUUCGAUAGCCACGCCAAGUCACUGGUCUUAUCCACUCCAACGGUCAUAUUAUUUAAGGGCAUUAAUGUCAAAUCAUGUCGGGAUGCUCCCAGGCUAUAAAUAGCCACCCCCCACAACCACUAGCUGGUUGGCUGCUCUGUUAGAAACUGACACUUGUCAUAAGAGCAACCCAAAUUCCUCAGAGCUUUCGAGAGUAAAUCAUCAGUGAAGAAAUACACCACCCACCGAAACCACAAACCAAACCUAGUGAUUGAGCAUCACUGAAGAAGUUGUUCCUGUGUGGGACUGAAGCCUUUUACCUUUGAGGACUGUGCAUCCUCCAGACGGUUAGGCGUCAUGGUCUAGAGCAAUCCAGCAGUCAAUUGUGGAUCGCCGGGUGACCGCGUUUGUGAGGGUUUGGAAGUCUGCCCUGAAGACUUACCACGAGUGUUGGGCGAGGACUGUGUGUCCUUAGCUCAAGGAGAGUACGGUAGGGACUGUGUGUCCCGGGACUGGGUGUCCUUUGGUUUCAAUACCAAGCCGCUCCAAACCAGAUGUACAACUGUCACAGCAGUUGGAACUGGGUCAUCAACAACAGUCUUCACCAAGAAUCGGGUUCUAAUUCCUCAACUCUUUACAUUCUCUGUAUUAUGUGUUGAUGACAUUCACUGUGACUGUUUGAAGAAUUUGCUGAAGACUUUCUCUGAAUUUCCUCAACCCCAAAUUCUUCACUUGAGUUAAACAUCAUCUGUAUUCUGCGUGCCUGCUUACUGUGCAAUCUGUUUUCAUAAUCUUCACUCUGCAAUACUGCUGUUGUGAACGAUUGCACGACUGAUCCUUAACUGUUUCCGCUGUAAGUUAGUCAUCAGUGAGGAAUUUCCUCAACAGGAAUUUCCUCAGUGAUGAAAUUCUAAAAAUCUCCUAUUCACCCCCCNNNNNNNNNNNNNNNNNNNNNNNNNNNNNNNNNNNNNNNNNNNNNNNNNNNNNNNNNNNNNNNNNNNNNNNNNNNNNNNNNNNNNNNNNNNNNNNNNNNNACUAGGGACAGUGUUUUGUCUAUGUAUCCACACAAGUAUUGUGUUUCCAAUCAAUACAAUUAUAGCAUGGAUAAUAAAUGAUUAUCAUGAACAAAUAAAUAUAAUAAUAACUAAUUUAUUAUUGCCUCCAGGGCAUAUUUCCAACAGUCUCCACUUGCACUAGAGUCAAUAAUCUAGUUCACAUCACCAUGUGAUUCCAACGAAUCCAACACACAUAUAGUUAUGGGGUCUGAUCACGUCUUGCUCAUGAGAGAGGUUUUAGUCAACGGUUCUGAAAUUUUCAGAUCCUUGUGUUCUUUACAAAUCUUUAUGUCAUCUUAUAGAUGCUGCUACUAUGUGCUAUUCGGAAAUACUCCAAAUAUCUACUCUACUAUACGAAUCCGUUUCACUACUCAUAGUUAUUCGGAUUAGUGUCAAAGCUUAUAUCGACGUAACCCUUUACGAUGAACUCUUUAACCACCUCCAUAAUCGAGAAAAAUUCCUUAGUCCAUCAGUUACUACGGAUAAAUUUUGACCGCUGCUAGUGAUUCAAUCAUGGAUCACUCUCUGUAUCUCUCAACAGACUUGCUGCAAGGUACACAUCAGGUGCGGUACUCAGCAUGGCAUACUUUAGAGUCUACGGCUAAGGCAUAGAAGACGACCUUCGUCUAUUCUCUUUAUUCUGCCGUGGUCGGGUUCUGAGUCUUACUCAAAUUCACACCUUACAACGCAACCAAGAACUCCUUCUUUGCUGAUCUAUUUUGAACUCCUUCAAAACUUGUCAAGGCAUGCAUCUUGUUGAAACUUCCAUUAAGCGCUUUCGAUCUAUCUCCAUAGAUCUUUGAUGCUCAACGUUCAAGUAGCUCAAUCCAGGUAUUCCUUUGAAAACUCCUAUCAAACAACCUUGUAUGCUUUACAGAAAUUCUACAUUACUUCUGAUCCACAAUAUGUCUACCACAUAUACUUAUCAGAAAUUCUAUAGUGCUCCCACUCACUUCUUUGGAAAUACAAGUUUCUCAUAAACCUUGUACAAACCCAAAAUCCUUGACCAUCUCAUCAAAGUGUAUAUUCCAACUCCGAGAUGCUUGCACCAGUCCAUUUAAGGAUCGCUGGAGCUUGCAUACUUGCUAGUAUCUUUAGGAUCGACAAAACCUCAUGGUUGUAUCUCAUACAAUGUUUGCUCAAGGAAACCGUCGAGGAAACAAUGUUUUGACAUCCUUCAUGCAAUAUUUCAUAAAUAAUGCAGCAACUACUAACAUAAUUCUAACAGACUUUUAGCAUCGCUAUGAGUGAGAAAGUCUCAUCAUAGUCAACUUUUUGAUCUUGUCGGAAACAUCUUUGUGACAAGUCGAGCUUUACUUAAUAGUGACUUAUCACUAUCAUCGUCUGUCUUCCUUUUAAAGAUCCAUCUUUACUCAAUAGUCCUAUGACCAUCAAGUAGUUCUUCCAAAGUCUACACUUUGUUUUCAUACAUGGAUCCUCUCUCGGAUUUCAUGGCUUCCAGCCAUUUGUCGGAAUCUGGGCCCACCAUUGCUUUCUCCAUAACUCGUAGGUUCACUGUUGCUCAACAACAUGACCUCGAAGACAGGGUUACCGUACCACUCUGUAGUAGUACGCGACCUUGUCAACCUACGAGGCUUGUAGUAACCUGAUCCGAUGCUCGAUGAUCACCAUCAUCAACUUUCACGUCAAUUGGUGUAGGCGCCACAGGAACAACUUCCUGCGCCCUGGUACACACUGGUCGAAGUGAUGGUUCAAUAACCUCAUCAAGUUCUACCACCCUCCCACUCAAUUCUUUCGAGAGAAACCUUUCCUCGAGAAAGGAUCCGUUUCUAGAAACAAACACUUUGCUUUCGGAUCUGAGAUAGGAGAUGUACCCAACUGUUUUGGAUAUCCUAUGAAGAUGCAUUUAUCCGCUUUGGGUUCGAGCUUAUCAAACUAAAACUUUUUCACAUAAGUGUCGAAACCCCAAACUUUCAAGAAACGACAGUUUAGAUUUCUCUAAACCUCAGUCUAUACUGUGUCAUCUCAACGGAAAUACGUGGUGCCCUAUUUAAAGUGAAUGCGGUUGUCUCUAAUGCUUAACCCAUAAACGAUAGUGGUAAUUCGAUAAGAGACAUCAUAGCAUGCACCAUACCAAAUAGUGUGUGGCUAUGACGUUCAGAAACAUCAUCACACUCUAAUGUUCUAGGUGGCAUGAACUGCGAAACAAUUUCCACAUUGUCUUAACUGCGUACCAAAACUCGUUACUCUGAUAUUCAUUUCUAUGAUCAUAUCGUAGAUAGUUUAUCCUCUUGUUACGACGAACUUCACUCCGAAAUAGGAUUGAACUUUUCAAUAUUUCAGACUUGUGAUUCAUUAAGCAAAUACUCUAGUAUCUACUCAAAUCGUCAUUGAAGUAAGAACAUAAUGAUAUCCACUGCGUGCCUCAGCACCCAUUGAACUGCAUACAUCAAAAUGUAUCACUUCCAACAAGUUACUAUCUUAUUUCAUCUCAAUGAAAACAAGGCCUUGCUCAUGUGGUAUGAUUUGCAUGUCACUAGUGAUUUAAAAUCAAGUGAGUAUAAAGAUCCAUCAGCAUGGAGCCUCUUCAUGCAAUUUAUACCAACAUGACUCAAGCGGCAGUGCCACAAGUAAGUGGUACUAUCAUCAUUACCUCGUAUCUUUUGGCACCAAUAUCAUGAACAUGUGUAACACUACGAUCGAGAUUCAAUAAACCAUUGAAGGUGAUUAUUCAAGAAAAUAGAGUAACCAUUAUUCUCUUUAAAUGAAUAAUCGUAUUGCAAUAAACACGAUCCAAUCAUGUUCAUGCUUAACGCAAGCACCAAAUAACAAUUAUUUAGGUUUAACACCAAUCCCGAUGGUAGAGGGAGCGUGCGACGUUUGAUCAUAUCAACCUUGGAAAUACUUCCAACACGUAUCGUCACCUCGCCUUUAGCUAGUCUCCGUUUAUGCCGUAGCUUUCAUUUCGUGUUACUAAUCACUUAGCAACCGAACCGGUAUCCAAUACCCUAAUGCUACUAGGAGUACUAGUAAAGUACACAUCAACAUCAUGUAUAUCAAAUAUACUUCUUUCGACUUUUGCCAGCCUUCUUAUCUACCAAGUAUCUAGAGUUGCUCCGCCUCAGUGACUGUUCCCCUCAUUACAGAAGCACUUAGUCUCGGGUUUGGGUUUAAUCUUGGGUCUCUUCAUUAGUGCAGCAACUGUUUUGCCGUUGCACGAAGUAUCCCUUCUAGCCCUUGCCUUUCUUGAAACUUAGUGGUUUUACAAACCAUCAACUAUUGAUGCUCCUUCUUGAUUUCUACUUUCGCAGUGUCAAACAUCGCGAAUCGCUCAAGGAUCAUUGUAUCUAUCCUUGAUAUGUUAUAGUUCAUCACGAAGCUCUCACAGCUUGGUGGCAGUGACUUUGGAGAACCAUCACUAUCUCAGCUGGAAGAUUAACUCCCACUUGAUUCAAGUGAUUGUCGUACUCAGACAAUCUGAGCACACGCUCAACGAUUGAGCUUUUCUCCUUUACUUUGUGGACAAAGAAUCUUGUCGGAGGUCUCGUACCUCUCAACAAGGGCACGAGCAUGAAAUCACAAUUUCAUCUCUUUAGAACAUCACUUAUGUUCCGUGACGUUUCAAAACGUCUUCGGUGCCUUGCUUCUAAGCCAUUAAGUAUUUUGCACUGAACUAUCGUGUAGUCAUCAGAAACGUGUAUGUCGGAUGUUCACAGCAUCCACAGACGACGCUCGGGGUGCAGCACACCGAGUGGUGCAUUAAGGACAUAAGCCUUCUGCGCAGCAACGAGGACAAUCCUCUUCAAAGUUUGCUACUAUCAACUUUCAACUAAAUUUUCUCUAGGAACAUAUAAAAAACAGUAGAGCUAUAGCGCAAGCUACAUCGUAAUUCGCAAAGACCAUUAGACUAUGUUCAUGACAAUUAGUUCAAUUAAUCAUAUUACUUAAGAACUCCCACUCAAAAAGUACAUCUCUCUAGUCAUUUGAGUGGUACAUGAACCAAAUCCACUAUCUCAAGUCCGAUCAUCACGUGAGUCGAGAAUAGUUUCAGUGGUAAGCAUCUCUAUGCUAAUCAUAUCAACUAUACGAUUCAUGCUCGACCUUUCGGUCUCAUGUGUUCCGAGGUCAUGUCUGCACAUGCUAGGCUCGUCAAGCUUAACCCGAGUGUUCUGCGUGUGCAACUGUUUUGCACCCAUUGUAUGUGAACGUUGAGUCUAUCACACCCGAUCAUCACGUGGUGUCUCGAAACGAAGAACUGUCGCAACGGUGCACAGUCGGGGAGAACACAAUUUCGUCUUGAAAUUUUAGCGAGAGAUCACCUCAUAAUGCUACCGUCGUUCUAAGCAAGAUAAGGUGCAAAAAGGAUUAACAUCACAUGCAAUUUAUAAGUGACAUGAUAUGGCCAUCAUCAUGCGCUUCUUGAUCUCCAUCACCAAAGCACCGGCACGAUCUUCUUGUCACCGGCGUCACACCAUGAUCUCCAUCAUCAUGAUCUCCAUCAACGUGUCGCCAUCGGGGUUGUCGUGCUACUCAUGCUAUUACUACUAAAGCUACGUCCUAGCAAUAUAGUAAACGCAUCUGCAAGCACAAACGUUAGUUUAAAGACAACCCUAUGGCUCCUGCCGGUUGCCGUACCAUCGACGUGCAAGUCGAUAUUAACUAUUACAACAUGAUCAUCUCAUACAUGCAAUAUAUCACAUCACAUCGUUGGCCAUAUCACAUCACAAGCAUACCCUGCAAAAACAAGUUAGACGUCCUCUAAUUUUGUUGUUGCAUGUUUUACGUGGUGACCAUGGGUAUCUAGUAGGAUCGCAUCUUACUUACGUAAACACCACAACAGAGAUAUAUGAAUUGCUAUUUAACCUCAUCCAAGGACCUCCUCGGUCAAAUCCGAUUCAACUAAAGUUGGAGAAACUGACACUUGCCAGUCAUCUUUGAGCAACGGGGUUACUCGUAGCGAUGAAACCAGUCUCUCGUAAGCGUACGAGUAAUGUCGGUCCAUGCCGCUUCAAUCCAACAAUACCGCGGAAUCAAGAAAAGACUAAGGAGGGCAGCAAAACGCACAUCACCGGCCACAAAAACUUUUGUGUUCUACUCGAGAAGACAUCUACGCAUGAACCUAGCUCAUGAUGCCACUGUUGGGGAACGUCGAACGGGAAACUAAAAUUUUCCUAAGCGCACGAAGACCUAUCAUGGUGAUGUCCAUCUACGAGAGGGGAUUUCCGAUCUACGUACCCUUGUAGAUCGCACAACAGAAGCGUUAGUGAAUGCGUUUGAUGUAGUGGAACGUCCUCACAUCCCUCGAUCUGCCCCGCGAACCGUCCCGCGAUCGGUCCCACGAUCUAGUGCCGAACGGACAGCACCUCCGCGUUCAGCACACGUACAGCUCGACGAUGAUCUCGGCCUUCUUGAUCCAGCAAGAGAGACGGAGAGGUAGAAGAGUUCUCCGGCAGCGUGACGGCGCUCCGGAGGUUGGUGAUGAUCUUGUCUCAGCAGGGCUCCGCCCGAGCUCCGCAGAAACGCGAUCUAGAGGAAAAACCGUGGAGGUAUGUGGUCGGGCUGCCGUGGAAAAGUCGUCUCAAAUCAGCCCUAAAACCUCCGUAUAUAUAGGUGGGAGAGGGGGGGCCUUGCCUUGGGGCUCAAGGAGCCCCAAGGGGGUCGGCCGAGCCAAGGGGGGAAGGUCUCCCCCCCCCCCAAACCGAGUCCUACUUGGUUUGGUGGGUGGAGUCCUUCUUCCCUUUCCCACCUCCUCCUUUUUUUUCUUUUCUCUUUGAUUUUCUUCCUAUGGCGCAUAGGGCCUUCUUGGGCUGUCCCACCAGCCCACUAAGGGCUGGUGUGCCACCCCCAAGGCCUAUGGGCAUCCCCGGGGUAGGUUGCCCCCCCGGUGAACACCCGGAACCCAUUCGUCAUUCCCGNNNNNNNNNNNNNNNNNNNNNNNNNNNNNNNNNNNNNNNNNNNNNNNNNNNNNNNNNNNNNNNNNNNNNNNNNNNNNNNNNNNNNNNNNNNNNNNNNNNNAGAAGAAGAAGAAGAAGCAACUCCAAAUGAACAAUCAACGCGCUCGCGUCAAGUAACCUUUACCUGUACCUGCAACUGUUGUUGUAGUAAUCUGUGAGCCACAGGGGACUCAGCAAUCUCAUUUCCAAAGGUAUCAAGACUAGCAAAGCUUAAUGGGUGAGGCAUGGUUAAGUGGUGAGGUUGUAGCAGCGGCUAAGCAUAUAUUUGGUGGCUAAACUUACGAGUACAAGAAAAUAAGAGGGGGAAGAUCUACGCAUAACGGACGUGAGCUACUGAUGAUCAAAUGAAUGAUCCUGAACACCUACCUACGUUAGACAUAACCCCACCAUGUCCUCGAUCGGAGAAAGAACUCACGAAAGAGACAGUCACGGUUACGCACACAGUUGGCAUAUUUUAAUUAAGUUAACUUCAAGUUAUCUAGAACCAGUGUUAAACAAAGUUUCCACGUUGCCACAUAACCGCGGGCACGGCUUUCCGAAAAGAUUUAACCCUGCAGGGGUGCUCCAACUAGUCCAUCACAAAUUAUCACAAGCCGCAUAGAAAUCCUCAAUCACGAAGCUCGCGAUCUCGUCGGAUUCCCUAGUGGAAAACCUCAACUCUGAGAUUACCCAAAGCAUCACCGGAAUCCCGAUGCACAAGAUAUCUCGUCAAAGGUAAAACUAAUCCAGCAAGGCCUCCCGACGUGUCGACGAUCCCGAUAGGAGCCGCGUAUCUCGUUCUCAGGACACGAUGGAUAAGCGAAGCAUACGAGUGCCAAACCUCGAGUUUCCUCGCGGUGGCCCCGCACAGUGCUCUGUUUUGGACCAGCACCAUCAGCACUGUCCCUCCCUGUAUUAUGUAGAAUUACUCCCCGGGUAGCGAUAACUCCCUAUGCAUUUCAGUAUUAUCAUUUCAUUAUGUUGGGCAAAUGUAGAACCAAAGUUGGGCCUUGCCAGACCAACUUUAAUCUAAAACGAAUUAUCAAGGGGGUCCCCAUAACAACCCCGAUCGUGUUAGGAGCGCUCAAUUAUGGAACAUAACACCGGUAUCCGAAACUAAGGGGGCAAAGGUGGAAAAAAACACCAGGCUAGAAAGGCCGAGCCUUCCACCUUUUACCAAGUAUAUAGGUGCAUUAAAGUAAAUAGCAUUAAUAUGGUGAUAUGAUAAGGAACCCAUGUUAUCACAUGGAAGCAACUGCACCUGCAACUAGCAACACUAUCAACGGGGUUAAGCAAGCAGUAACAUAUCCAAUCAGUGGUUUGCUAGGUUGAACAGGUUGAAGGUUUUCAUGGCAUUGUUGAGAGGCUGAUAUUUAACAUGUGGUAGGCAACGAGGCAUAAUCGAUAGAAACGGUAAUCUAGCAUGGCAAUGAUAGUAAUGGUAUCUGGGGAAAUGGUCAUCUUGCCUGAGAUCCCGCUUGGAAGAAGAAUGCCUCCGUGAAGCAGACGAACCGACGUAGUCGAACGGGUCCUCACAAUCCGGCACGCUGCGGAACUCUACCGAGACGGGGAAAACCGGAAACAAGCAUCAACACACGAUAUUCACCACACGAUGCACAACACAUAUGAUGCAUGAACGGUCUAAUGCAAGGCAUGACAAUCACAACAAUCCAACCCUACACAUUAAGUGAAGUUCAAUAUGCAACGAGNNNNNNNNNNNNNNNNNNNNNNNNNNNNNNNNNNNNNNNNNNNNNNNNNNNNNNNNNNNNNNNNNNNNNNNNNNNNNNNNNNNNNNNNNNNNNNNNNNNNAACGAUAAGAUCUUCGUAGAAUAUGUAGGAUCCAAUAUGGGCAUCCAGGUCCCGCUAUUGGAUAUUGACCGAGGAGUCCCUCGGGUCAUGUAUACAUAGUUCUCGAACCUGCAGGGUCUGCACACUUAAGGUUCGACGUUGUUUUAUGCGUAUUUGAGUUAUAUGGUUGGUUACCGAAUGUUGUUCGGAGUCCCGGAUGAGAUUACGGACGUCACGAAGGUUUCCGAAAUGGUCCGGAGACGAAGAUUGAUAUAUAGGAUGACCUCAUUUGAUUACCGGAAAGUUUUCGGCAUUACCGGGAAUGUACCGGGAGUGACGAAUGGGUUCCGGAUGUUCACCGGGGGGGGGGGCAGCCCACCCCGGGGAAGCCCAUAGGCCUUAGGGGUGCCGCACCAGCCCUUAGUAGGCUGGUGGGCAAGCCCAAGAAGCCCAUGCACAGGAUAAGAAAAAAUCAAAAAAUGGGGAAGUGGGAAGGAAGGGAAGGACUCCACCUUCCAAUCCUAGUUGGACUAGGAUUGGAGGAGGAUUCCUCCCGCCCCUUCGGCCGACCCCCUUGGGGCUCCAUGAGCCUCAAGGCAAGGCCCCUCCCCUCCCACCUAUACAUACAGAGGUAUUAGGGCUGAUUUGAGACAACUUUGCCACGGCAGGCCGACCACAUACCUGCACGUGUUUUCCCUCUAUAUCGCGUUUCUGCAGAGCUCGGGCGGAGCCCUGCUGAGAUUAGAUCAUCACCAACCUUCGGAGCGUCGUCACAUUGUCGAAGAACUCAUCUACCUCUCCGUCUCUCUUGCUGGAUCAAGAAGGCCGAGAUCAUCGUCGAGCUGUACGUGUGCUGAACGCGGAGGUGCCGUCCGUUCGGCACUAGAUCGGAGCGGAUCGUGGGACGGAUCGCAGGACGGUUCGCGGGGCGGAUUGAGGGACAUGAGGACGUUCCACUACAUCAAUCGCGUUUAUUAAUGUUGGGGAACGUCGCGUGGGAAACAAAAAUUUACCUACGCGCACGAAGACCUAUCAUGGUGAUGUCCAUCUACGAGAGGGGAUGAGUGAUCUAUGUACCCUUGUAGACCAUACAACAGAAGCGUUAGAGAAUGCGAUUGAUCUAGUGGAACGUCCUCACGUCCCUCGAUCCGCCCCGUGAACAAUCCCGCGAUCAGUCCCACGAUCUAGUACCGAACGGACGGCACCUCCGCGUUCAGCACACGUACAGCUCGACGAUGAUCUCGGCCUUCUUGAUCCAGCAAGAGAGACGGAGAGGUAGAAGUGUUCUCCGGCAGCAUGACGGCGCUCCGGAGGUUGGUGAUGACCUUGUCUCAGCAGGGCUCCGCCCGAGCUCCGCAGAAACGCGAUCUAGAGGAAAAACCGUGGAGGUAUGUGGUCGGGCUGCCGUGGAAAAGUCGUCUCAAAUCAGCCCUAAAACCUCCGUAUAUAUAGGUGGGAGGGAGGGGACCUUGCCUUGGGGCUCAAGGAGCCCCAAGGGGGUCGGCCGAGUCCAAGGGGGAGGACUCUCCCCCCCCAAACCGAGUUGGACUAGGUUUGGUGGGAGGGAGUCCCCCUUCCUUCCCACCUCCUCCCUUUUUUUUUCUUUCUCUCUUGAUUUUCUUCUCCUUGGCGCAUAGAGCCUUUUGGGCUGUCCCACAAGCCCACUAAGGGCUGGUGUGCCACCCUCAAGGCCUAUGGGCUUCCCCGGGGUGGGUUGCCCCCCCCCCCCGGUGAACUCCCGGAACCCAUUCGUCAUUCCCGGUACAUUCCCGGUAACUCCGAAAACCUCCCGGUAAUCAAAUGAGGUCAUCCUAUAUAUCAAUCUUCGUUUCCGGACCAUUCCGGAAACCCUCGUGACGUCCGCGAUCUCAUCCGGGACUCNNNNNNNNNNNNNNNNNNNNNNNNNNNNNNNNNNNNNNNNNNNNNNNNNNNNNNNNNNNNNNNNNNNNNNNNNNNNNNNNNNNNNNNNNNNNNNNNNNNNAUAUAGGGGCAAAUCCACUUGCCAAUAAGUGCCCGAGCCUUCCUGAAGCUAGUCUUCUUGUGUGAAGAGGACUUUGAAGAUGAGGAUUUUGAAGAUUUCUUCUUCUUCUUUGAGUCAUCAGAACUGUCAUCCUUGUAUUUCUUCUUCUUUGAUUCCUUUCCCCAGCGAGGACAAUCAGCAAUGUAAUGACCUGAUUUCUUGCACUUGUGACAGGUCCGUUUCUUGUAGUCCUUAGAUGCAGAUUCUGAUUUCCUCAUGUCUCUUCUUGAUGAUUUACCGAACUGGCCUCGUCGUGUAAAUCUCUGGAAUUUCCUCACAAGCAUUGCAAGUUCCUGACCAAAUUCUUCAGGGUCACAACUGCUGUCAUCUGUGUCUUCUUCUUCAGAUGAGGAAAUUGCUCUUGCCUUCAGUGCACGUGGUCUGGAAUAGCUUUGUCCAUAUAGAUCUCUCUUUUCUUCUAGCUGGAACUCAUGAGUAUUUAGCCUUUCAAGGAUAUCAGCAGGAUCUAGCAUCUUGUAGUCUGGUCUUUCUUGGAUCAUCAGAACUAAAGUGUCAAAUGAAGAAUCCAAAGAUCUCAGCAGUUUCUUCACAACUUCGUGAUUAGUGAUGUCUCGAGCUCCCAGUGCUUGCAGUUCAUUUGAUAUGUCAGUGAGGCGAUCAAAGGUGUCUUGGCAGCUUUCAUUGUCAUGUCUCUUGAAGCGAUUGAAGAGAUUGCGAAGAAUAUCAACACGAGAGUCGCGUUGGGUUGAUACUCCUUCAUUUACCUUGCACAGUCUCUCCCAGAUCAGUGUUGCACAGCCUAAGACACUUACUCUUCCAAACUGGCCAGGGCUCAGAUGACCACAGAUGAUGUUCUUCGCUUGAGAAUCGAGUUGCUUGAAUUUCUUCACAUCAACUGCACUGACACUAGCAGAAAUGAUGGGGACACCAUUUUCCACAAUAUACCAGAGAUCAUUGUCUAUAGCUUGUAGAUGCAUUUGCAUUUUGUUCUUCCAGAAGGGAAAAUUCUUUCCCUCGUAGGUAGGACAUGUUGCAGUCACCUUAAACAUGCCUGCAGUCGACAUAACUAAAACUCCAGGUGGUUAAACCAAAAUCACACAGAACAAGGGAGUAGAUUGCUCUGAUACCAAUUGAAAGUGCGUUAUAUCGACUAGAGGGGGGUGAAUAGGAGANNNNNNNNNNNNNNNNNNNNNNNNNNNNNNNNNNNNNNNNNNNNNNNNNNNNNNNNNNNNNNNNNNNNNNNNNNNNNNNNNNNNNNNNNNNNNNNNNNNNGCAUCAUGGCAAGCAAUCUACACAUAAAGAACAUCUCCAACGGAGCUACGGAACAAAAGAUACAAGCACCGCAAGAUAUGAUGGCAUGAAUGCAGUAUGUGUGCAACGAUGGUCACGAGCACUUCAAAACAUACAACCAGCAAGAUAAAAUGAAACUACACGAGAUUCUAAGCAAGUUUCAUGUAGGACAUGAUCAAAUCGGAGCUACGGAUCAAAAUCUACGAGCAAAACGAGAAAUCACUACAAUCUGCCAAAAUCCGCCACAUAGCAUAUUCUACACCCCACAACUACGGGCUACACAACUCCGAUAUGCUCAAGCAAGGCAUGGAACGAAAGAGGGCAAGAAGCACUAUUACAAACAACUAACAACUACUAGCAUGGCAUCAUGGAUCACUAGGGAAAGAAGUCACAAAAUGGCAUCUCAUGCACUAUUUCAGACUUAGUGAAAAUUACACCUCAUGAAGGUGCAGUUUUCGAUCUGAAGCAAUAUUGACAGCAGCAAAACCUAUAGCUACAGGACUCCAAAUGGCAUGAAAAUUCAUAGCAUGCUAGAGAAACACAAGGGCUACAACUUACUCCAUUGGACCAACCUCAAAAGAGCUACGGAUCUAAAGAUAGAAGCAAAACAAAACAGCAACAAAAUAUAACAGAUUCCAGACUUAGAAAUAUUUCAACUCCUCCAAAUCAGCACUAUUUCUAGCAACUUGAGGGCAAUCAAACCACACCUAUACAUGCAUUUCUAUUGCAAGCAAAAUUACCAGGGGCUAGUCAAAACAUCCAAGAACAACUCCCUAGUUGACAACUCCGUCAAACGAAGCACGGAAUAAAUCCUACNNNNNNNNNNNNNNNNNNNNNNNNNNNNNNNNNNNNNNNNNNNNNNNNNNNNNNNNNNNNNNNNNNNNNNNNNNNNNNNNNNNNNNNNNNNNNNNNNNNNUCACCUUCAAGGAUCUGCUGGUGGCCACCGGCUACUUCAACGAGGCCAACUUCAUCGGCGAGGGCGGCUUCGGCAAGGUGUACAAGGGCAAGAUCUCCAAGACCAACCCGCAGGCGAGCUUCUCUGCCCCACCUCUGCUCCGUUCCGGCGGUCCUGGUUUCCGGUGAAAGACUCGAUUGAUUCUUCUUUUGGUUCUCACAGGGCGCUUCCGAUGCGCAGAUGGUGGCGGUGAAGCAGCUGGCCCGGGAGAGCGUGCAGGGGAGGAAGGAGUUCCUGGUGGAGGUGCUCAUGCUCACGGUGCUCAGCCACCCCAACCUCGUCAGCCUCGUCGGCUUCUGCGCGCAGGGGGACGAGCGGCUGCUGGUCUACGAGUACAUGCCCUUCGGCAGCCUCGNNNNNNNNNNNNNNNNNNNNNNNNNNNNNNNNNNNNNNNNNNNNNNNNNNNNNNNNNNNNNNNNNNNNNNNNNNNNNNNNNNNNNNNNNNNNNNNNNNUCUUUGGUAAUACUCCUUACUUCUUCUCAGAAUUAUUCAGACCUGCUCUCUGUUUUUGGUUCAGUUCAUCUCUGCAAUGCAGUCAACUAAGCAUCCAUGUUGGAAUGUGUGCGUAUGGUAGUUCAGUUUGUGUGGUGAACCUAUACCCUACUGGUGCGCGCUCUCGAAAGAAAUUCGUGUGGGUUUGGCAAAUCAAAGGGGAAAAUAAAUGUAUCGUAUCAUAGAAGAACCAUCUAUGGUUCUCCUUUCUCAGGGAAAGAGGUGACUUGGAGGAUUGCCUUUUUGGGGUUCACUUUUGGGAACCAUCUAUGGUUGUGCUGCUGUCUGUUAGCCUAUGAUAACCUCUGUUAGUGGUGGAAUGAGAAGUCCAGUUACUAUUACCAAACAAAAUAGAAUGUCCUACUUUUGUCGAAAAAAUAGAAGGUGGUACUCCAACUGUUCGAAGAUUCUUCUUGUCCGGUACACCGGUAUGAGGAUUUAUUGGAGUCUCACUUUCUCAGGAUCACGGUGGUUUUUUACUUUGAAAUAUGAAACAGAUCGUAUUUUGACCGGGUUACUCAGUUCAUAAGAAAACAAAAAAUAUUUAGUUGUCUUUAUACCUACCCUUAUAAAGAUCUGAGUUGGUGGUGGUCCAUUCACCCUCAUGGCCUCAUCAAGAUUUCCUAUUGAGUUAUUAGGACAUUACCUGUUGUCAUCCAUUAUGUGGAGGACAUAAGGUCCAUUCAACUGAUGUAUACUUCGAGAUAUAUCUUUCUUCAUUUUGCACAAAGUUAUGGAUGUGAUCUCACAAACAUUUAAACGGCUGAUGCAAUAUGGAAGAAAAAAAACUUCUGUAACAACACAUGGACACUUUUGCUAGUGGGAAUACCGCAUGAUAAACAUCUGAGUACAAAUGUUAAUCCUUGAAGUGUUGAAAUUUUUACCAUGAUGUGCAUUCAGGUAGUACAUGUGGGUCUUCGCACACAAACAAGAAAGUAAGAAAUAAAAAAAAGGUCCAUUUUCUCUGUUCAAUUAAAAACAGGGCACUAGAACCCUGAACAUCUUUUAUAUUAAGAAGAACCGAGCACCCUGCUGACGCUUGGCCUCAAACGCGGGUGGGCGAGCCACGGGCACGCAGACCUGCGCUCCUAGCCAAGCGAGCGAGCUCGGUUCUCUUUCUUUUUGGCUUUUAUUAUCUGCUUUAAUAGGAUUCUGAAUGCUAUCUAUUCUUCUAUAUGUUGAAGUAUUAAUUUCUACAAAAAUCGGGAAGAAACAAUAAGGCAGAUAUUUUAUCUGUAUUAUUUGUUUGGUGGAUAAACCAACCUUGAGCACCCUGUUGAUGCUGGGCCUCGAACGCGGGUGGGCGAGCCAUGGGCACGCAGACCUGCGCUCCUAGCCAAGAGAGCGAUGCCCGGUUCUCUUACUUUUUGGCUUUUAUUAUAUACUUUAAUAGGAUUCAAGAUGCUAUCUAUUCUUCUAUAUGUUGAAGUAUUAGUUUCUACAAAAAUCAUGAAGAAACAAUAAGGCAGAUAUUUUAUCUGUAUUAAUUGUUUGGUGUAUAAACCGACCUUGAGCUCACUGCUGAUGCUGGGCUUCGAACGCGGGUGGAUGAGCAAUGAGCGCGCAGACCCGCGCUCCUAGCCAAGCGAGCGGUGUUCUGUUUUCUCUUUUUUUGUUGCUUUUAUUGUCUGCUUUAGUAGAAUUCCGGAUGCUGUCUAUUCUUCUGUAUGUCAAAGUAUUCAUUUCUUCGAAAAUCGUGAAGAAACAAUAAGUCAGAUACUUUCUCGGUAUUAACUGUUGGUACAUCAACCAACCUUGAGGACCCUGCUGACGCUGGGCCUCGAUCACGGAUGGGCAAGCCAUGCGUAUGCAGACCAGGCGUUGGUCCGUUCUCUUUCUUUGUCAUUUGUAUUGUCUGCUUUAAUAGGAUUCUAUUUUUCUACAUCUCGAAGUUUUCAUUUCUACAGAAGUCGUGAAGAAAUAACAAGGUAUAAUUUUUUUUUCUGUAUUAACUGUUGGUGCAUCAACCAACCUUGAGCACCCUGCUGACGCUGGGCCUCGAACGCAGGUCAGUGGGCACCGAGCAUGCAGACCUGUCCUAGCCAAUCGAGUGGUGCUCGGUUCUCUUUCUAUGUCACUUUUAUUAUCUGGUUUAAUAGAAUCCAGGAUGCUAUCUAUCUUUUAUAGGUUGAAGUUUUCAUUUCUGCAAACAUCCUGAAGAAACAAUAGGGCAGAUUUUUUUUGUUGGUAUUAAUUGUUGGUGCAGCUAGCCAAUCGAGCGUUGCUUGGUUCUUUUUCUAUGUCGCUUUUAGUUUCUGCUUUAAUACAAUUCACAGUGCUAUCUCUUUUGCAUAUUGAAGUUUCUAUUUCUACAAAAAUCAUAAAUAAACAAUAAGGCAGAUAUUUGCUCUGUAUUAAUUGUUGGUGAAUCAACCAACCUUCCACCUAAAGUUUCUUAGUGCAUGGAUUCAGGUUUGAAUUUUGUGUUUCUUAGUACUUGAAUUGCAAUCAGGAUUUUGUAUUUAAAGAAGUCAAAGUUGGGACGAAGAUAAGUUAAAAACGGUCAGACGUAGUAUAGUAUAUGUCCUCUGCCAUCGCCUUUCUCUUCCUGAUUUCUUUUCUUGUAGGGCUGAAUACUUUGCAAGCUGUCUGAAACUAUGAGGUUGCUAUCUCCUCUUUCGAGGGAUGGAAGUCAGGGGACAAUGUAAUAGUUUGUUGUUAUCAUUUAUGGUCAAGUCCAUUUACAAACACUAUAAGUUAAGUGUUGAGUGCGAUAUCAAUGCCAUCCAUUUUUUGUAAAGUUAGUAAAUUGGUAAGUAUUAUAUUGACUUAAUCACUUAGUUGGGUAGUCUGAACCAUCCAUUUUGUGUAUGUUGGAAAACUACAAAAUAAACUGGUUUCGGUGUGCAAUCCACACAAUUUUUUUUGUCAUACUCGCUUAUGAGUUUCUUACCUGAAAAGCAACCUUUUUUGUGAUUAACCAUUUUCCUACAUGCCAAAAUUAUUGAGCACAUAAUGCCUAAGGUUAGCCAAAAUUGUCCCCACGGAAAUUAUUGAAGUUCUGAUGUCCCGUGCUUUGUCUCAUGUCUGAACAUCACAUGGUCUGCAUAAUGAUAGCAGUACUAGGUGAUGGGCAUUAUGUGGCUGUCUGAACUUUUCUGCAAAGUUCCUUUAUUUUCCUAUGCCCGCAAUCGCUUUCAUGAUGUGCUAUUACUGUAUUGUUGCUCCUCUUUUAAUUCUAAAGCAAUUUAGUUAUUUGUAUACUGAAACGAAACAUCGCCAUUGUCCUUUUAACAAGCUUCUGCUCUACAUUGUUCCUGUACACUUCAUUUGACUGAUAGAAAUUUCACCUUUGAACAGAUGUGCCUCAUGGCAAGCCACCACUGGACUGGAACACGCGAGUGAAGAUAGCUGUUGGGGUAGCAGAAGGGCUCUCGUACCUGCACAACGUGGCAGACCCACCGAUCAUUUACCGCGACAUGAAGGCUGCCAAUAUUCUGCUGGAUGAGGACUUCAGUCCAAAGCUUUCCGAUUUUGGACUCGCGAAAGUUGGCCCCGUUGGUGACAGGACCCAUGUCUCUACCAGGGUCAUGGGUACCUA